rnacentral:rRNA from 1 species
CUACGGGAUGCUGCAGUAAGGAAUAUUGCGCAAUGGAGGCAACUCUGACGCAGCCAUGCCGCGUGCAGGAAGAAGGCCUUAUGGGUCGUAAACUGCUUUUAUUUAGGAAUAAACCCUCGCUCGUGAGCGAGGCUGAAGGUACUGAAUGAAUAAGCACCGGCUAACUCCGUGCCAGCAGCCGCGGUAAUACGGAGGGUGCAAGCGUUAUCCGGAUUUAUUGGGUUUAAAGGGUGCGCAGGCGGGCUAUUAAGUCAGUGGUGAAAUCCCGGGGCUCAACUCCGGAACUGCCAUUGAUACUGAUAGUCUUGAGUUUGGUUGAAGUGGGCGGAAUGUAGCAUGUAGCGGUGAAAUGCAUAGAUAUGCUACAGAACACCAAUCGCGAAGGCAGCUCACUAAGCCAAAACUGACGCUCAUGCACGAAAACGUGGGGAUCAAACAGGAUUAGAUACCCGAGUAGUC